UAAUAGUAAUAAUAAUAAUAAUAAUAAUAAUGUUAAAUUGGAUACAAGUGGUAUAAGCACAAACCACAGAAAGUGGCUAAGUUGGAGACUAGCAAAAUUCUCAGGGAUUUCCCAAUCCAAACAGAUCAGGUGCUAGAGCAUAACAGACCAGAUCUAGUGGUGGUGGACAAGGUGCACCACAUAUGCUGUAUAGUUGAUGUUG